GACGAACGCUGGCGACGUGCUUAACACAUGCAAGUCGAACGAAGAGCGAUGGAAGCUUGCUUCUAUCAAUCUUAGUGGCGAACGGGUGAGUAACGCGUAAUCAACCUGCCCUUCAGAGGGGGACAACAGUUGGAAACGACUGCUAAUACCGCAUACGAUCUAAUCUCGGCAUCGAGGAUAGAUGAAAGGUGGCCUCUACAUGUAAGCUAUCACUGAAGGAGGGGAUUGCGUCUGAUUAGCUAGUUGGAGGGGUAACGGCCCACCAAGGCGAUGAUCAGUAGCCGGUCUGAGAGGAUGAACGGCCACAUUGGGACUGAGACACGGCCCAGACUCCUACGGGAGGCAGCAGUGGGGAAUCUUCCGCAAUGGACGAAAGUCUGACGGAGCAACGCCGCGUGAGUGAUGACGGCCUUCGGGUUGUAAAGCUCUGUUAAUCGGGACGAAAGGCCUUCUUGCGAAUAGUGAGAAGGAUUGACGGUACCGGAAUAGAAAGCCACGGCUAACUACGUG
rnacentral:rRNA from 1 species